GACGAACGCUGGCGGCGUGCCUAACACAUGCAAGUCGUACGGAGAAUUAACAAUAAUUCUUAGUGGCGAACGGGUGAGUAACGCGUAGACAACCUGCCCUUUAGAUGGGGACAACAGAUCGAAAGGUCUGCUAAUACCCAAUAUUGAUUGAGAAACGCAUGUUUCACAAACUAAAGAUGGCCUCUAUUUAUAAGCUAUUGCUAAAGAAUGGGUCUGCGUCUGAUUAGCUAGUUGGUGAGAUAAAAGCUCACCAAGGCAACGAUAAGUAGCAGGUGUGAGAGGAUGAACGGCCACACUGGGACUGAGACACGGCCCAGACUCCGUCGUGAGGGAGCAGUGGGGAAUCUUCCGCAAUGGAAGAAAGUCUGACGGAGCAACGCCGCGUGGGUGAUGAAGGUUAUCGGAUCGUAAAACUCUGUUAUUAAGGACGAAUGAAUAGAUUGUGAAUAAUGGUUUAUAAUGACGGUACUUAACGAGGAAGCCACGGCUAACUACGUGCCAGCAGCCGCCGUAA
rnacentral:rRNA from 1 species